rnacentral:rRNA from 1 species
UUGGAGAGUUUGAUCCUGGCUCAGGACGAACGCUGGCGGCGUGCUUAACACAUGCAAGUCGAACGAGGUCCACGGUGUAGCAAUACACUUGAAGACCUAGUGGCGAACGGGUGCGUAACACGUGAGGAACUUGUCCCGGUCUCUGGGAUAACAGUUGGAAACGACUGCUAAUACCGGAUGACGUCGGAGCAUCGCAUGGUGCGCUGACGAAAGGGUUACUGGAUCGGGAGAGCCUCGCGGCCUAUCAGCUUGUUGGUGGGGUAACGGCCCACCAAGGCAUCGACGGGUAGCUGGUCUGAGAGGAUGAUCAGCCACACUGGGACUGAGACACGGCCCAGACUCCUACGGGAGGCAGCAGUGGGGAAUCUUGCGCAAUGGGCGAAAGCCUGACGCAGCAA